AGAGUUUGAUCCUGGCUCAGGACGAACGCUGGCGGCGCGCCUAACACAUGCAAGUCGAACGAGCGAGAGAGAGCUUGCUUUCUCGAGCGAGUGGCGAACGGGUGAGUAACGCGUGAGGAACCUGCCUCAAAGAGGGGGACAACAGUUGGAAACGACUGCUAAUACCGCAUAAGCCCACGGGUCGGCAUCGACCAGAGGGAAAAGGAGCAAUUCGCUUUGAGAUGGCCUCGCGUCCGAUUAGCUAGUUGGUGAGGUAACGGCCCACCAAGGCGACGAUCGGUAGCCGGACUGAGAGGUUGAACGGCCACAUUGGGACUGAGACACGGCCCAGACUCCUACGGGAGGCAGCAGUGGGGAAUAUUGCACAAUGGGGGAAACCCUGAUGCAGCGACGCCGCGUGGAGGAAGAAGGUCUUCGGAUUGUAAACUCCUGUUGUUGAGGAAGAUAAUGACGGUACUCAACAAGGAAGUGACGGCUAACUACGUGCCAGCAGCCGCGGUAAAACGUAGGUCACAAGCGUUGUCCGGAAUUACUGGGUGUAAAGGGAGCGCAGGCGGGAAGACAAGUUGGAAGUGAAAUCUAUGGGCUCAACCCAUAAACUGCUUUCAAAACUGUUUUUCUUGAGUAGUGCAGAGGUAGGCGGAAUUCCCGGUGUAGCGGUGGAAUGCGUAGAUAUCGGGAGGAACACCAGUGGCGAAGGCGGCCUACUGGGCACCAACUGACGCUGAGGCUCGAAAGUGUGGGUAGCAAACAGGAUUAGAUACCCUGGUAGUCCACACCGUAAACGAUGAUUACUAAGUGUUGGAGGAUUGACCCCUUCAGUGCCGCCAUUAACACAAUA
rnacentral:rRNA from 1 species